GUCAAAUUUCGUCGAGAGAUGGCGCCAGUGGUUACGUUACGUCAAACCCGUAUCCAUGUAGUAUAUCUACCCUUUUCGCGAAAUUCCACGGUCUGAAAGUGGCAGCGCGUGGCCGUCGUUCGUUGUUCGUUGUUAGUUCGUUUCGUUUCGUACGUACGUACGUAAGUAAUUAAUUAACCAAUCAAGUUGGAAAAUUGUUUUCUACGAAUGCAAGAACGAGUAUCCUCGUGAUAGCGAGGCCGAGUUAAACCGGCUGACAUAACCUCACAUUAUUGUCGUCGAUCAAGAGGAAGAGUGAGAGAGAGAGAGAGGGGGUGAGAGAGAGAGAGAGAAAGCGAGAGAGAAAGAAAGAAAGAAAGAUUCAAGCAGACAGGAAAAAACGUUCGUCGUCGUCGUCGUCGUCGUUGUCGUCGUCGUCAUCGUCGUCAUCGUCGUCGUCGUCGUCGUCGAAAGACGCCGUCAGCAUGAACGGAGAAAGGCAUGGAGAGAGAGAGAGAGAGAGAGAGAAUGCGCGCAAAAUGGAGGGAAACUGUUAAGCUGGGUCACGUGGUAACCUUGUUGCGAACUCCAUUCUGAUUGGUUCUUUUUUCUCUCACCUUCGUAGCUACGUUCUUUCCGUAGUUUAUUUUCUAAGAACUUGGCAGAUAUCACUAACGACGGAUGUUAACGUACGUUCUAAAAAUACUGAUGGGCAUUUGGUCGAUUAUAACAUUAUUUUUUUCUC